AUAGCGGAGGAAAAGAAACCAACUGGGAUUACCUUAGUAACGGCGAGUGAAGCGGUAAAAGCUCAAAUUUGAAAUCUGGUACUUUCAGUGCCCGAGUUGUAAUUUGUAGAAUUUGUCUUUGAUUAGGUCCUUGUCUAUGUUCCUUGGAACAGGACGUCAUAGAGGGUGAGAAUCCCGUUUGGCGAGGAUACCUUUUCUCUGUAAGACUUUUUCGAAGAGUCGAGUUGUUUGGGAAUGCAGCUCAAAGUGGGUGGUAAAUUCCAUCUAAAGCUAAAUAUUGGCGAGAGACCGAUAGCGAACAAGUACAGUGAUGGAAAGAUGAAAAGAACUUUGAAAAGAGAGUGAAAAAGUACGUGAAAUUGUUGAAAGGGAAGGGCAUUUGAUCAGACAUGGUGUUUUUUGCAUGCACUCGCCUCUCGUGGGCUUGGGCCUCUCAAAAAUUUCACUGGGCCAACAUCAAUUCUGGCAGCAGGAUAAAUCAUUAAGAAUGUAGCUACUUCGGUAGUGUUAUAGCUUUUUGGAAUACUGUUAGCCGGGAUUGAGGACUGCGCU
rnacentral:rRNA from 1 species